rnacentral:rRNA from 1 species
AGGACGAAACGCUGGCGGCGUGCUUAACACAUGCAAGUCGAGCGGAAAGGCCCUUCGGGGUACUCGAGCGGCGAACGGGUGAGUAACACGUGAGUAAUCCGCCCUUAGCUCUGGGAUAGCUCCGGGAAACCGGGAUUAAAUACCAGAUAUGACCACUUUAGACAUCUUUUGUGGUGGAAAGAAUUUCGGCGUGGGGAUGAACUCGCGGCCUAUCAGUCUUGGUUGGUGAGGUAAUGGCUCACCAAGGCGACGACGGGUA